rnacentral:misc_RNA from 1 species
GAUGAAGAACGUAGCGAAAUGCGAUACGUAGUGUGAAUUGCAGAAUUCCGUGAACCAUCGAAUCUUUGAACGCAAAUUGCGCUCGAGGCCUCGGCUAAGAGCAUGUCUGGCUCAGCGUCGGCUUACUACCCUCAAUCAAUUACCUUGUGAUGAUUGGUUGGAGCUGGCUUUCCGGUGUUCCGAUCAGGUUGUCGGUCAGCUGAAAAACAUUCGCGCUGUGGAAGUCGCUUUCCCUUCAAAAAGGAAAGCCGAGUUCCGAUUUGGUAGGUGACCUUUGCCGGUUGCAUGCCUUCGUUGCUCGUUUUGGCUUUCAUGAUAGCGUGUGCAGGACGCCUUUUUGGCUUUCGACCUGAGCUCAGGCAAGAACACCCGCUGAACUUAAGCAUAUCAAUAAGCGAGGA